rnacentral:rRNA from 1 species
CUGACGGUACUUGAUGAAUAAGCCACGGCUAAUUCCGUGCCAGCAGCCGCGGUAAUACGGGAGUGGCAAGCGUUAUCUGGAAUUAUUGGGCGUAAAGCGUCCGCAGGCGGCCCUUCAAGUCUGCUGUUAAAAAGUGGAGCUUAACUCCAUCAUGGCAGUGGAAACUGUUGGGCUUGAGUGUGGUAGGGGCAGAGGGAAUUCCCGGUGUAGCGGUGAAAUGCGUAGAUAUCGGGAAGAACACCAGUGGCGAAGGCGCUCUGCUGGGCCAUCACUGACGCUCAUGGACGAAAGCCAGGGGAGCGAAAGGGAUUAGAUACCCCUGUAGUCCUGGCCGUAAACGAUGAACACUAGGUGUCGGGGGAAUCGACCCCCUCGGUGUCGUAGCCAACGCGUUAAGUGUUCCGCCUGGGGAGUACGCACGCAAGUGUGAAACUCAAAGGAAUUGACGGGGGCCCGCACAAGCGGUGGAGUAUGUGGUUUAAUUCGAUGCAACGCGAAGAACCUUACCAGGGUUUGACAUCCUGCGAAUCUCUUGGAAACAGGAGAGUGCCUUCGGGAACGCAGUGACAGGUGGUGCAUGGCUGUCGUCAGCUCGUGUCGUGAGAUGUUGGGUUAAGUCCCGCAACGAGCGCAACCCACGUCUUUAGUUGCCAGCAUUUAGUUGGGCACUCUAGAGAGACUGCCGGUGAUAAACCGGAGGAAGGUGUGGAUGACGUCAAGUCAUCAUGCCCCUUACAUCCUGGGCUACACACGUACUACAAUGCUACGGACAAAGGGCAGCAAGUUCGCGAGGACAAGCAAAUCCCAUAAACCGUGGCUCAGUUCAGAUCGUAGGCUGCAACUCGCCUACGUGAAGGCGGAAUCGCUAGUAAUCGCAGGUCAGCAUAC